GUGUCAGCAGCCGCGGUAAUACGUAAGGGGCGAUCGUUGUCCGGAAUUAUUGGGCGUAAAGAGUGCGUAGGCGGCAAGUUAAGUCAGAUGUGAAAACUAAGGGCUCAACCCAUAGAUUGCAUCUGAAACUGAUAUGCUUGAGUCAAGGAGAGGAAAGUGGAAUUCCUAGUGUAGCGGUGGAAUGCGUAGAUAUUAGGAGGAAUACCGGUGGCGAAGGCGACUUUCUGGACUUGAACUGACGCUGAGGCACGAAAGCGUGGGGAGCAAACAGGAUUAGAAACCCUAGUAGUCC
rnacentral:rRNA from 1 species